rnacentral:rRNA from 1 species
UAAACGAUGUCGAUUUGGAGGUUGUGGCUCCGGAGCUAACGCGUUAAAUCGACCGCUGGGGAGUACGGCCGCAAGGUUAAAACUCAAAUGAAUUGACGGGGGCCCGCACAAGCGGUGGAGCAUGUGGUUUAAUUCGAUGCAACGCGAAGAACCUUACCUGGUCUUGACAUCCAGGUGCUGCAUGGCUGUCGUCAGCUCGUGCUGUGAAAUGUUGGGUUAAGUCCCGCAACGAGCGCAACCCUUAUCCUUUGUUGCAACUCAAAGGAGACUGCCAGUGAUAAACUGGAGGAAGGUGGGGAUGACGUCAAGUCAUCAUGGCCCUUACGACCAGGGCUACACACGUGCUACAAUGGCGCAUACAAAGAGAAGCGACCUCGCGAGAGCAAGCGGACCUCAUAAAGUGCGUCGUAGUCCGGAUUGGAGUCUGCAACUCGACUCCAUGAAGUCGGAAUCGCUAGUAAUCGUGGAUCAGAUGCCACGGUGAAUACGUUCCCGGGCCUUGUACACACCGCCCGUCACACCAUGGGAGUGGGUUGCAAAAG